CAGCAGCCGCGGGAAUACGUAGGGUGCGAGCGUUAAUCGGAAUUACUGGGCGUAAAGCGUGCGCAGGCGGUUCGUUAAGACAGAUGUGAAAUCCCCGGGCUUAACCUGGGAACUGCAUUUGUGACUGACGGGCUAGAGUAUGGCAGAGGGGGGUAGAAUUCCACGUGUAGCAGUGAAAUGCGUAGAGAUGUGGAGGAAUACCGAUGGCGAAGGCAGCCCCCUGGGCCAAUACUGACGCUCAUGCACGAAAGCGUGGGGAGCAAACAGGAUUAGAUACCCGAGUAGUCCCUGUCUCUUAUAA
rnacentral:rRNA from 1 species